rnacentral:rRNA from 1 species
GUAACACGUAUGUAACCUACCUUUAUCAGGGGGAUAGCCUCUCGAAAGAGAGAUUAAGCCCGCAUAACAUUAUGUAGCAGCAUUGUUGUAUAAUCAAAUAUUUAUAGGAUAAAGAUGGGCAUGCGGAACAUUAGCUAGUUGGUAAGGUAACGGUUACCAAGGCGACGAUGUUUAGGGGGUCUGAGAGGAUGACCCCCAACUGGUACUGAGACACGGACCAGACUCCUACGGGAGGCCAGCAGUAAGGCAUAUUGGUCAAUGGGCGGAACGCCUGAACCCAGCCAUGCCGCGUGCAGGAAGACGGCCCUACGGCU